CAGAAGUUCCUGGAUCGGCCGAUGACGACCAGCGAGUACUAGACCCUGUAGAUCAGAUCAAGGCCAUAAAUGUCCUUCUUUGGAUAAUUGUACUGAACUUGAAUGCCCUUUGAAUGUCUUGUAAAACAUUAACACUUUCAUCAUUGUUGUGUGAAUACAAAUCUAAACAGCUCUUCUCCGUAGCUUUUUAACCCAACGGUCAUUUGCUUUGAAUGACUCCUCCAACUAACCAUUGCUUCUCAUCCUCUCCUCCUAUAAAUACUAGAUCCCCAC
rnacentral:lncRNA from 1 species